rnacentral:rRNA from 1 species
UUUUGAACCGCCUGUUAAUNGGGUGNGGAUUAAACCUGCCGAGUUGCAUGAGACGCCUAACUGUCUCAUAGCAAACUGCUCAGUAACACAUGAUCAACCUACCCUAUGAUGGGUAAUAACCUCGGGAAACUGAGGAUAAUGAUCCAUAGCUGAUUCGGCUUGGAAAAGUGUUUCAGUGAAAGGGACAUAGAAAAUGGUCUAUGUCUGUCAUAGGAUGGGAUUGUGGUAGAUUAGGUAGUUGGUGAGAUAAAGGCUCACCAAGCCGAUAAUCGAUAGGGGCCGUGAGAGCGGGAGCCUCGAGAUGGGUACUUAGACAGCGACCCAGGCCCUACGGGGCGCAGCAGGUACGAAACCUCCGCAAUACACGCAAGUGUGACGGGGCUACCCAAAGUGCUCCAUAUAGGAGCUGUGGUAGGUGCGUAAUGUUCCCUACUAGAAAGGAGAGGGCAAGGCUGGUGCCAGCCGNCGCGGCAAAACCAGCUCUUCAAGUGGUCGGGAUAAUUAUUGGGCUUAAAGUGUCCGUAACUGGUAAGGUAAAGUUCCUGGUAAAAUUGGGCAGCUUAACUGUCCUUAUGCUAGGAAUACUGCUUUACUAGAAGGCCGGGAGAAGUCUGAGGUACUACANGGGUANGAAUGAAAUCUUAUAAUCCUUGUAGGACCACCAGUGGCCAAAGCGUUAAA